rnacentral:ncRNA from 1 species
AUCAAUUUUUUUAUUUUAAUAAAAAAGUUUGAUUUUGGCUUUUAUAUUUGUAUAAUAUUUUUAUUGCAUGUAAAUUUUUGUGAGAUUAAAUAAUUUAUAUUUUGAUAAUAUAAUUAAAUUUAUUUAAUUUGCAGCAUUUAAUUUUAAUAAUUAAAGUAAUUUAGAAUUAUAAUUUAUUUUAAAAUAUAGGUAAAAAAUGUGCCAGCAGCUGCGGUUAUACAUUUUAUAUAAAUAAAUAAUAUUUAUAAAUUAGUUUUUAAUAGUUUAUUAUUUAUUAUAAAAAUUAAAUUAAAUUAGGUGAAAUUAAUUAUUUUAUUAUAAUUAUUUUUAUAUAAAUUAUUAUUAUUAAAUCUUUUGUUUAAACUAGGAUUAGAUACCCUAUUAUUUAAGAUGUAAAAUUUUUAGAGGAAUAAUAGUUAUGUUCUUUAAACUUAAAAAAAUUGGCGGUAUUUAAAUCUAAUUAGGGGAAUUUGUCUAUUAAUUGAUAAUCCACAAGAUAUCUUACUUUAAUUUAAAAUUUAUUUAUUGCCGUUAACAGAUUAUUUUUGAAAAAUUAUAAUUUUCUAAUUUAUUUUAUAUUAUAAUUAUAAAUAUUUCAGGUCAUUAUGUAGUUAAUAUUAAAGUUUAGGUUGAUUACAAUAAAAUUUAUUUAAAUGAAUAUUAUAUUGAAAUAUGUAAUUGAAAGUGGACUUAAUAGUAAAAUAAAAUAUUAUAUUUUUUUGAAUUAAGAAUUAAAUAUGUACAUAUCGCCCGUCACUCUCAUUUUAAAAUGAGAUAAGUCGUAACAAAGUAGAGAUACUGGAAAGUGUUUCUAGAAAGUAUAAAUAUAUUU